rnacentral:misc_RNA from 1 species
AAUUCUCAACCUUUCCAUUAAUUUAAUUUGGUUUGGCUUGGAUGUGGGGGUUGCAGGCUUCAUUUGACUAUGAGGUCAGCUCUCCUUAAAUGCAUUAGUGGAACUUUUGUUGACCAUCUAUUGGUGUGAUAUCUAUCUACACUGUGGAUGUGAAGCAGUGUUGUUCAGCUUCUAACCGUCUAUUAUUGACUUUACUUGACC